rnacentral:rRNA from 1 species
UACGUAGGGACCGAGCGUUGUCCGGAAUCAUUGGGCGUAAAGAGCGUGUAGGCGGCUUGCUAAGUCUUGCGUGAAAUCUCGGGGCUCAACCCCGAGCGGUCGUGGGAAACUGGCAGGCUAGAGUGCGGGAGAGGAGAAUGGAAUUCCUGGUGUAGCGGUGAAAUGCGCAGAUAUCAGGAAGAACACCCGUGGCGAAGGCGGUUCUCUGGGCAGUAACUGACGCUGAGGAGCGAAAGCGUGGGGAGCGAACAGG